GUGCCUUUUUCUAACAUGGCGGCAGCGAGCAGGCAUCAGCCACACCGGAGCGCGGCCAUCCACGGUGCUAUCAUCUCUCCUCCUCGGCCCAAUCGAGAUAGCUCGAGUUGCACGCUGGGAAGAUUUUAAGCGGGAGCGGGAGGCUCGGAGCCGGCGGGAGUGGUUAACGCGCUGUCGUCCUGUCGUUGUUGUCGUUCUGAGACGGCCAUUAUAUUUGACUUGUUUGGAUACCAUCCGAUCACCAUUGUGUGCUGCCACCACUUGUAGCCUGCAGUAGUUAUUACCGCUUCUACUGGGAACUUGCGCCAUCCGCUGCACCCUUAUGCCUUUGUGCAGCAGAGUCGUUUUCGGUGUGUUGCGCGGUCGCUGCAACGAGCCGGGUUGUGAGUGCAAGCGAUACACCAUUCUGCGCCUGUCGGAAAGUGACAACCUGGUGAGGUGUGACUAUUGUGACCACGUCCCAAAUGCACACGGAAAAAUAUGUGAUCUCGAGAGGACUGUCCCAGUUGGUGCCUCCAUAGAAAAUGAAUCGGCCUGAAUGCCUGUGCAAGAAUCACAACCUGGCUGCUCUAAAGACUCCGCACCGUAGUCCCAUGUGCAAGAGCCCCCACUUGACAGCCCAGUGGUUGCCAUGGACAAAGAGAUCCGCGAUACUGAAUGCGGC